rnacentral:rRNA from 1 species
GGAAUAUUGGGCAAUGGGCGCAAGCCUGACCCAGCAACGCCGCGUGAAGGAAGAAGGCUUUCGGGUUGUAAACUUCUUUUGUUGGGGACGAGUAGAAGACGGUACCUGACGAAUAAGCCACGGCUAACUACGUGCCAGCAGCCGCGGUAAUACGUAGGUGGCAAGCGUUGUCCGGAUUUACUGGGUGUAAAGGGCGUGUAGCCGGGUUGGCAAGUCAGAUGUGAAAUCUAUGGGCUUAACUCAUAAACUGCAUUUGAAACUGCUGAUCUUGAGUAUCGGAGAGGCAAUCGGAAUUCCUAGUGUAGCGGUGAAAUGCGUAGAUAUUAGGAGGAACACCAGUGGCGAAGGCGGAUUGCUGGACGACAACUGACGGUGAGGCGCGAAAGCGUGGGGAGCAAACA